GUGCUCACCUCAGCAGCACACGCACUAAAAUUGGAAGGAUACAGAGAUUAGCAUGGCACCAUCCAAGGAUGGCAUGAACUCUGUGAGCCAGUCCACAUUUUU